AGAGUUUGAUCAUGGCUCAGAAUGAACGCUGGCGGCAUGCCUAACACAUGCAAGUCGAACGAGAUCUUCGGAUCUAGUGGCGCACGGGUGAGUAACGCGUGGGAACCUACCUUUUAGUACGGGACAACGUUUGGAAACGAACGCUAAUACCGUAUACGCCCUCCGGGGGAAAGGUCAGCCGCUAAAAGAGGGGCCCGCGUCUGAUUAGCUUGUUGGUAAGGUAAUGGCUUACCAAGGCUUCGAUCAGUAGCUGGUCUGAGAGGAUGAUCAGCCACACUGGGACUGAGACACGGCCCAGACUCCUACGGGAGGCAGCAGUGGGGAAUAUUGGACAAUGGAGGCAACUCUGAUCCAGCAAUGCCGCGUGUGUGAUGAAGGCCCUAGGGUUGUAAAGCACUUUCAACGGUGAAGAUGAUGACGGUAGCCGUAGAAGAAGCCCCGGCUAACUUCGUGCCAGCAGCCGCGGUAAUACGAAGGGGGCGAGCGUUAUUCGGAAUUAUUGGGCGUAAAGGGCUCGCAGGCUGCUUGAACAGUUAGACGUGAAAUCCCCGGGCUCAACCUGGGAACUGCGUUUAAUACUAGCAAGCUAGAGUAAUAGAGAGGAAAGUGGAACUCCCAGUGUAGAGGUGAAAUUCGUAGAUAUUGGGAAG
rnacentral:rRNA from 1 species